rnacentral:rRNA from 1 species
AUUGAACGCUGGCGGCAGGCCUAACACAUGCAAGUCGAGCGGAUGAAGGGAGCUUGCUCCUGGAUUCAGCGGCGGACGGGUGAGUAAUGCCUAGGAAUCUGCCUGGUAGUGUGGGAUAACGUCCGGAAACGGGCGCUAAUACCGCAUACGUCCUGAGGGAGAAAGUGGGGGAUCUUCGGACCUCACGCUCUCAGAUGAGCCUAGGUCGGAUUAGCUAGUUGGUGGGGUAAAGGCCUACCAAGGCGACGAUCCGUAACUGGUCUGAGAGGAUGAUCAGUCACACUGGAACUGAGACACGGUCCAGACUCCUACGGGAGGCAGCAGUGGGGAAUAUUGGACAAUGGGCGAAAGCCUGAUCCAGCCAUGCCGCGUGUGUGAAGAAGGUCUUCGGAUUGUAAAGCACUUUAAGUUGGGAGGAAGGGCAGUAAGUUAAUACCUUGCUGUUUUGACGUUACCAACAGAAUAAGCACCGGCUAACUUCGUG